ACAGCAGCCGCCACGGUAAUACGUAGGGUGCAAGCGUUAAUCGGAAUUACUGGGCGUAAAGCGUGCGCAGGCGGUUAUAUAAGACAGAUGUGAAAUCCCCGGGCUCAACCUGGGAACUGCAUUUGUGACUGUAUAGCUAGAGUACGGCAGAGGGGGAUGGAAUUCCGCGUGUAGCAGUGAAAUGCGUAGAUAUGCGGAGGAACACCGAUGGCGAAGGCAAUCCCCUGGGCCUGUACUGACGCUCAUGCACGAAAGCGUGGGGAGCAAACAGGAUUAGAUACCCCGUAGUCCCUGUCUCUUAUACA
rnacentral:rRNA from 1 species